rnacentral:misc_RNA from 1 species
CAACCCUUAAGCCUAGCUUAGUGUUGGGAAUCUAUGUGUGGUCCACGUUACCCUGUAGCGUGGUUACCCUGUAGUUCCUGAAAAUCAACGGCGGAUUUAUAGUAUCCUCUGAGCGUAGUAAUUUUUUAUCUCGCUUCUGUUUAGGUGCUGUAGAUUCUGCCGCUAAACCCCCAAAUUUUUUGU